rnacentral:rRNA from 1 species
CCUACGGGCGGCAGCAGUGAGGAAUAUUGGUCAAUGGGCGGGAGCCUGAACCAGCCAAGUCGCGUGAGGGAAGACGGUCCUAUGGAUUGUAAACCUCUUUAGGCGGGGAGCAAUGCCGGGCACGUGUGCCCGGAGGGAGAGUACCCGCAGAAUAAGCAUCGGCUAACUCCGUGCCAGCAGCCGCGGUAAUACGGAGGAUGCGAGCGUUAUCCGGAUUUAUUGGGUUUAAAGGGUGCGUAGGCGGAUUUUUAAGUCAGCGGUAAAAUUGAGAGGCUCAACCUCUUCGAGCCGUUGAAACUGGUUUGCUUGAGUGAGUGAGAAGUAUGCGGAAUGCGUGGUGUAGCGGUGAAAUGCAUAGAUAUCACGCAGAACUCCGAUUGCGAAGGCAGCAUACCGGCGCUCAACUGACGCUGAGGCACGAAAGCGUGGGGAUCGAACAGGAUUAGAUACCCCAGUAGUC